GACGAACGCUGGCGGCGUGCCUAAUACAUGCAAGUCGAACGCAGUGGGGACGGGGGAGUAACACGUGGGGAACCUCCCAUAAGAGGGGAUAACACUUGGAAACAGGUGCUAAACCGAUACUGAUGGUAGGACCCCCGGUGCAGUAGCUCGUUGGUGAGGUAACGGCUCCCCAAGGCGGCGAUGCAUAGCCGACCUGUGGAGUGGUUCUGCCACACUGGAGCUGUGGAACUGCCCAGACGCCGACGGUAGGCAGCAGUAGGGAAUCUUCGGCCAUGUACUAGAGUCUGACCGGGCAACGCCGCGUGAGUGAAGAAGGUUUUCGGAUCGUAAAACUCUGUUGUUAGAAAAGCGGUAUCUAACCAGAAGGCCACGGCUAACUACGUGCCAGCCGCCGCGGUAAUAC
rnacentral:rRNA from 1 species